rnacentral:lncRNA from 1 species
AUUGGUCAGCUCCAAGACUCUUCAAGUGAGGGGGCGGUGCUUGGAGAGUGGGCCUGUUAGUGAGUGGGCGUGGCCUGCAAGAGGAUCUGGUUCCUCCAGUGAACCCGCCAGAGAAAUUCCCACAAUCCAAGGGCCUUCUGAAUGCCCCUGAGUUGUUUCCUUUUUUCAGUAUUUCCAUGCAUUCAAUUAUUUCUUGUGAAUAUGCAAUUGAUUAUUGUGACUACCUAUAGCCAGCACCAUCUCUUGUCUACACCAGGAGAGCCUCAUCUGUUCUCAGGAAUUCAUUUUGUAGCUUUAAAGUAACUCCAUUUGACCCGUGUGAAUUCUCUCCCGGACUCUGCUCUCUGCUGAUUUUCUGCACGAGUGUUUGUGAGUUCUAUUUGCUGUCAUCUCACACUGUCUCAUUCUGAAGAGUCUACCUUAGUCCCUGCAGUUCCCUGGCCCAACUUUUCAGGUUCUUAACUCUGUCCCUUAGGCAGACUCAACUAUUUGGAAUUGUUCAGAGAACCACGCAUUCGGUCCACAAAUUGCUUUGUGGAUCCUAUGUAUAUUUAAGGUUUGAUGGAGAGAAACCGCUUAAACUGACAGUGACUGAUGGUGAAUGGGACAGACAGUGAGCCUGACGGGUGGCAAUAGCCUGGCAGUGACAACCUACAGGUGAUAACUUCGUGGUGACUCUAGUUGUGCUACUGUUUCUGAUAGGACCUUUCUGAUGGAGCAAAGUCAUAUGUAGCAUACACUGUUUCCACUUGUAUGUUAAUAGUGACAAGAACAUCACGGUAGAGGGUGCUGUAGAGAAGGUCUUCUCGUGAUAUUGGAGAAGCGAAGAGAGAGAGAGGGACGUAGGAAGGCAAGCCUCAGGAAGCAGAGAGAGUGAACUGAAGCCAGGAGAGGGUUUAUACGUGGUGAGAACUGUUGAGAAACACACUCUGCCUGGAAGAGGCAGAGAGCAACUGAGCGGCACAUUAUGUAGUAAAUUCCAAGUCUCUAGCUUUUGUGAGCCAUCAACAAUGCUGGAAUAGAUACAAAGAGAGAGCCCCACACUGAUAUUCUUUGUCCUUACUGGAGGAUUUCUUCUCAAGCGUGAUUCUUAUCUUUCUUUCAUGACUGUGAAAAUGCUGGAGCUUAGGAUUGCCUCAGGCAAGUAAGCUUGAAGGUCUGCUUGGGAUUGAGAGAAAAUGAAAUAGCGAAAAAAAUCAGAAAGAAAGAAAACAACGGAGGCUGAGGAGCCAGAAUGACUAAUCAGCCCAGUGUAACCGAGCUGCGGCGCUGGGGCAUCCGUCUGAAGAUCAGUGGCUUCCUCCAUGUUCUAAACUCAAGGACCACAAGUGGAGAAGGCCCUGGAGUCUAAGGAGCUCUGCACCAGGAACCAGGAUGAGUAGAAACCAAAUCAGAGAUGAGAACAAAACUACAGAUUUGUUUCACAGAGCGUACCACGCUCCUGUACUCACUCCAACAGCCCACGGAUUCUGCUCCCCUGGAGAAGCCUAAGUCAAGCACACUUCUCAGUUGUGCCUG